rnacentral:rRNA from 1 species
CGCCUUGCCAGCCCGCUCAGAAACUCAAAGGAAUUGACGGGGGCCCGCACAAGCGGUGGAGUAUGUGGUUUAAUUCGAUGCAACGCGAAGAACCUUACCUGGUCUUGACAUCCCGGAGACCCUUAGGAAACUAGGGGGUGCUUCCAUCUGGAAGAAUCUGGAGACAGGUGCUGCAUGGCUGUCGUCAGCUCGUGUCGUGAGAUGUUGGGUUAAGUCCCGCAACGAGCGCAACCCUUGCCUUUAGUUGCCAGCAGUUCGGCCGGGCACUCUAAAGGGACUGCCGGUGUUAAACCGGAGGAAGGUGGGGAUGACGUCAAGUCCUCAUGGCCUUUAUGACCAGGGCUACACACGUACUACAAUGGCCGAUACAAAGGGCAGCGACACUGCGAGGUGAAGCCAAUCCCGUAAAAUCGGUCUCAGUCCGGAUUGGAGUCUGCAACUCGACUCCAUGAAGUUGGAAUCGCUAGUAAUCGUGGAUCAGCAUGCCACGGUGAAUACGUUCCCGGGCCUU